rnacentral:rRNA from 1 species
UACGGAGGAUGCGAGCGUUCUCCGGAUUUAUUGGGUUUAAAGGGUGCGUAGGCGGGAUGCCAAGUCAGCGGUAAAAAUGCGGUGCUCAACGCCGUCGAGCCGUUGAAACUGGCGUUCUUGAGUGGGCGAGAAGUAUGCGGAAUGCGUGGUGUAGCGGUGAAAUGCAUAGAUAUCACGCAGAACUCCGAUUGCGAAGGCAGCAUACCGGCGCCCUACUGACGCUGAGGCACGAAAGCGUGGGUAUCGAACAGG